rnacentral:rRNA from 1 species
GACGAACGCUGGCGGCGUGCUUAACACAUGCAAGUCGAACGGAAAGGCCCUGCUUUUGUGGGGUGCUCGAGUGGCGAACGGGUGAUUAACACGUGAGUAACCUGCCCUUGACUUUGGGAUAACUUCAGGAAACUGGGGCUAAUACCGGAUAGGAGCUCCUGCUGCAUGGUGGGGGUUGGAAAGUUUCGGCGGUUGGGGAUGGACUCGCGGCUUAUCAGCUUGUUGGUGGGGUAGUGGCUUACCAAGGCUUUGACGGGUAGCCGGCCUGAGAGGGUGACCGGCCACAUUGGGACUGAGAUGCGGCCCAGACUCCUACGGGAGGCAGCAGUGGGGAAUAGUGCACAAUGGGCGGAAGCCUGAUGCAGCAACGCCGCGUGCGGGAUGACGGCCUUCGGGUUGUAAACCGCUUUCGCCUGUGACGAAGCGUGAGUGACGGUAAUGGGUAAAGAAGCACCGGCUAACUACGUG